UGACUAACGCUUUCUUAGCUGGGCAAUGCAAAGUCCUAUUUUUAAGGAACCCAGUCAUUUCGUUUAGAUUCUUUGUUUUAUUUUAAUGACCUUCUGAGUCAUUCAUUUUUCUACUUUUGGACUGAUUCACUCUCGGCCAUUUCCUUACAGAAAAAUCCAAGCCCUCCUUUAAGACUCAACACCAGCAACCAUCUUCUCCUGAAAAUUAUCCUCAUCCACACCACCCCCUCUCCAGGAAGAGAUAGUGAAACUGAGCCUCAAGGAGCUUAAUUGAAACUUCUUGCUCAAGGUCACAUGACGUACGUGAAGAAGCCGGGACGCUAAGCCAGACUGGCCAAACUCCAGAGUGAGAGUCUUGGAAGGUGACUCUUCGUGUGGCGCUGCCUGGCUCUUGCUGUGAUAAUCGUGUUGAUGUUCAUCACCCUUCCCCCUCAGACCGUAAGCUUCAAGAAGUGUUUGUUCCCUACUGCACUGUACUCAGUAAACAUCUGCACCGAACAGCUGAUGCCCCACAGGUUGGACGACGGCUAGAGAACUUCCGGUCCCUUUACAGCGUUAGCUGCUCGAAGCUUUACACAAUUUUUCAUUCUUACAACAUCAAGAGCAAAAACAAUGUACGUUGAAUGAAGGAAGUAAGGGAUGGGAAUGGGCUUGGCAGGUUCCAGUGGACAUAUUUCCUAGCUGAACAUCUUCAAUAGAAAAUUAAUUUUUCUCUGUAGCUCAGGACCGAUGCUGCCAGACAAGAACUUCUCAUCAUGUUGUUUCUGGGUUGAACUAACAAAAUCUUACAGCCUAAGGGUUCAGUUUAAGUUCACUCAACACACCUCUGCUGGGUAUCUGCUGUGAGCCAGGCCCUGACUCACAGGCCAGCGCCGAAGAUGGCUGUGCCAGCGGCUCACCAGGCGGAGGUCCUUUGGCUGCUCAUCUUCUCUCCACUCCUUCUGGGAGACAAGCUCCCUACUUCCCUGACAGCGGGCAAGCGGGGGUGGCCUGGGGAACAGGGGAAAGGAGGGGCGACGCCUUGUCUCGUCAGAGAGGGCCGAGCAGGAAAGAUCUCUACGGUCCAGCAGCCUCCAAGAAGUGACUGCGAGCAGCAGAGAGGAGGCCGGGAGGAGCCAGCUCGUCCCUCAUGGAAUGCAAAGGCAGCUGUUUGGGCCACGAAAUGACAAUAGAAGAAUUAGAUGCGUGGAAAAGGUCUGGGAAGGCUAAUAAAAACAGGAAGCCCAUUGGGGGUGGCACCUGGAGGCGGGAAUGAAGGGUUCCCUUAUCACUCAAUCGAAUGCUUUUUACCUCA